CCCGCAAGUCCCAGUUACCUGGGAAGCUGAGGGGGAGGAUUGCUUGAGUCCAGGAGUCCUGGGCUGUAUUGCCCUGUGCCGGUCUGGUGUCUGCAUUAAGUUUGGCAUCAGUAUUGUGAACUUCUGGGGGUAGAGGGCUAUCAGGUUGCCUAAGGAGGGGUGAAUCAGUCUAGAUCCAAAAUUGAACAAGUCAAAAAUUCCUGUGCUUAUCAUAAUGGUAUCACACCUGUGAAUAGCCACUGCACAGCCUAGGCAUCAUAGUAUCUCUU
rfam:Otolemur garnettii contig170363, whole genome shotgun sequence.